CCUAAGGGGGUUGGACUAUUGUAAUCACCAUAUGUCUGAAAAAAGAAAAAAAAAAAAACAUGAAUAGGGUUGGUCGGGCUGAACCCAGUGACAUGUGGUAAUGGCUGGUUUGACUCCAUUGUAUUGGACCUUUGUGUACUUUGGAUAUUUAGUUGGGAUUGAUAGCUCUUUCUUUACAUACGAACCAUUCUUGACAAUUUUAGACAACAUGAGAUAUUCCGAAAAUUUGAUGGAUCAGGCCCUAAUAAACUGUAGUAAACACUUGUGAACUUGAGUAGUACACCUAAAAUUCAAGCGGUACCAUGUUGUGGUGGAGGUAUUAGUGCUCUAAGAAAGUCAUCUGUUUAUGCAUACUACACUUCAGUAUUACCCUUGCUUUGAUAGUUGCCAUGCUUGAAAAAAAAUAUAUAUCACGUGUGCAUUGACUUAAAUUUCAUUAUAUAUCAUUUUAUGAAUGAUGUUUGUGGGUAACAUCACUGCAAACCCUCACGAGACAACACUCGUCCACUAGGGUAACCUAGA
rnacentral:lncRNA from 1 species